rnacentral:tRNA from 1 species
GGCCUCAAAGCUCAGAUGGCUAGAGCGCUGGCUGUACUGAAGCCUUCCCCUUGCUGGCGUGGGUUCGAAUCCCACCGAGGUCA